rnacentral:rRNA from 1 species
UACGUAGGGUGCGAGCGUUGUCCGGAAUUAUUGGGCGUAAAGGGCGCGUAGGCGGUCAGCACAAGUCAGUUGUGAAAUCUCCGGGCUUAACCCGGAAAGGUCAACUGAUACUGUGCGACUAGAGUGCGGAAGGGGCAACUGGAAUUCUCGGUGUAGCGGUGAAAUGCGUAGAUAUCGAGAGGAACACCUGCGGCGAAGGCGGGUUGCUGGGCUGAUACUGACGCUGAGGCGCGAAAGCCAGGGGAGCGAACGGG